rnacentral:rRNA from 1 species
UACGGAGGGUGCAAGCGUUGCUCGGAAUCAUUGGGCGUAAAGCGUACGCAGGCUGUUCGUUAAGUCGGGUGUGAAAGCCCGGGGCUCAACCCCGGAACUGCGCCCGAAACUGGCGAGCUUGAGUGCGGGAGAGGGAAGCGGAAUUCCUGGUGUAGAGGUGAAAUUCGUAGAUAUCAGGAGGAACACCGGUGGCGAAGGCGGCUUUCUGGACGACAACUGACGCUGAGACGCGAAAGCGUGGGGAGCAAACAGG